GAUGAACGCUGGCGGCGUGCCUAAUACAUGCAAGUCGAGCGAACAGACGAGGAGCUUGUUCCUCUGACGUUAGCGGCGGACGGGUGAGUAACACGUGGAUAACCUACCUAUAAGACUGGGAUAACUUCGGGAAACCGGAGCUAAUACCGGAUAAUAUAUUGAACCGCAUGGUUCAAUUGUGAAAGACGGUUUUGCUGUCACUUAUAGAUGGAUCCGCGCCGCAUUAGCUAGUUGGUAAGGUAACGGCUUACCAAGGCGACGAUGGGUAGCCGACCUGAGAGGGAGACGGGCCACACGGGGACGGAGAAACGGACCAGAAUGCUAAGGGAGGAAGCAGUGGUGAAUAUGGAAAAAUGGGAGAAAGACUGAUGCAGAGAAGCGGCGGGAGGGAUGAAGGCCUGCGGGUUGUAAACCAAUGUAAGAAGGGAAGAAGCGAAAGUGACGGGAACUGAAGAAGAAGCAACGGCUAACUACGUG
rnacentral:rRNA from 1 species